rnacentral:rRNA from 1 species
GACGAACGCUGGCGGCGUGCCUAAUACAUGCAAGUAGAACGCUGAAGGAGGAGCUUGCUUCUCUGGAUGAGUUGCGAACGGGUGAGUAACGCGUAGGUAACCUGCCUGGUAGCGGGGGAUAACUAUUGGAAACGAUAGCUAAUACCGCAUAAUAUUGACUAUUGCAUGAUAGUCAGUUGAAAGGUGCAACUGCACCACUACCAGAUGGACCUGCGUUGUAUUAGCUAGUUGGUGGGGUAACGGCUCACCAAGGCGACGAUACAUAGCCGACCUGAGAGGGGGAUCGGCCACACUGGGACUGAGACACGGCCCAGACUCCUACGGGAGGCAGCAGUAGGGAAUCUUCGGCAAUGGACGGAAGUCUGACCGAGCAACGCCGCGGGAGUGAAGAAGGGUUUCGGAUCGUAAAGCUCUGUUGUAAGAGAAGAACGAGUGUGAGAGUGGAAAGCUCACACUGUGACGGUAUCUUACCAGAAAGGGACGGCUAACUACGUG